UUUAUAUGAAAAAUUAAUAAAAAAAAAUUACAAAAUGUGGCGCAUAUAAACAAUUCCCAAUUUCCUUUUGUUAUCCUUACCACUUUACCAGCUGGCAGAGAGCCUUCCUUUUCCGAUUCUCUAUUUCCUUUCCUCAUUCCCAAUCUCCGAUCCAUCCUCAAAACAACUGACGAGAGAUCGAUGAUGAUGAAGAUGCCUUGGAGGAGAAAGAGCAGGAGCUUCUAUCUUCAGCUACAAGGGGCAAUUGGUACCAUUCAAUCUCCAUUCCUAUUCUUAUUUACCAAUUAUUGCCAUUCUUCUACUUCCACACUUGAAGAUGCACGCUUCUUGACAAAUAACUUCAAAUCUGCUUCUUUUACCCGCCUUGAUGAUGCCAUUGCUUCCUUCAAU
rnacentral:lncRNA from 1 species